ACGGAAGGCAGCAGUGGGGAAUAUUGCACAAUGGGGGAAACCCUGAUGCAGCAACGCCACGUGUGGGAAGAAGCAUUUCGGUGUGUAAACCACUGUCGUGAAGGAAUAAGGCUUAUUUUCGGAUAAGUUGAAUGUACUUUGAAAGGAAGCACCGGCAAACUUCGUGCCAGCAGCCGCGGUAAUACGAGGGGUGCAAGCGUUGUUCGGAAUCACUGGGCGUAAAGGGAGCGCAGGCGGAGAUGCAAGCAGUCUGUACAAUACCGGGGCCCAACCCCGGACCUGCAGACUGGACUGUUUCUCUUGGAUAGCUCAGGGGCUGGCGGAAUUCCUGGUGUAGCGGUGGAAUGCGUGGAGAUCAGGAAGAACACCGAUGGCGAAGGCAGCUUGCUGGGGACUUAUCGACGCUCAUGCUCGAAAGUGCGGGUAGCAAACAGGAUUAGAUACCCUGGUA
rnacentral:rRNA from 1 species